rnacentral:lncRNA from 1 species
UUGACCAAGAAUUUUCCUACUAGACGGCUGCUUUGUUUUUAGCAUUAUCAACUACCCAGGUAUUCUUCAAUUUAUUAACCAAUUGAUCCAAAAAAUGGUACAUCAAGAGAUUGAGUUGAUUCAGGCCAGCUUCAUACCUCUCAUUUGGGAUUUGAACUCAUGACCUCAAAUAACCUCGGCUUUGAUCCCAUAUUUGCUCAUCAGUUAACCCAAAAGCUUAAAUUUGCCCACCUUUAAUUUGCUUAAUAUCUAAUAGCUGCCGAGACACUUAAUUUCUUUUUUGAUCGUUGGUUUAUUAUCUAGCUACAACGAUUAGCAGUUUGUCCCCAAUAAAGGACUUUGCCACCGGUCAUUGGCAUUUUGUCACCAAUGACUGUCCAUUACUAGUGAGUAGCCCUUUUUUUUUUUCACCAGAUUGUCUUUCUAUCAUUUGGGAGUAAUUAUCACUAGUUGAGUGAUCAACAAUCAGAAAUCUGACAGGUUCUUUGAUUUGCUUUGUUUCAGGAACUUAAAAUUCAUUCUGAUCCACAAUUAUAGCAAUAAUGCUAGCCUUAACUUGAUUCUCAAGGUGUUUUUUGAGAUAUGAUCUGUAUCCAUUGAUGUCUUUUCAUAUAUUCCAAAUUAUUGAUAGGAUUUUAUGCGUGUAAACUCUUAUAAAUAUCUAAAAUUGCAUGAACACUCUCACAAAUUUACUAUUUAUGUAUAUACUUUCAUUAAAUAUUCAUUUUGCAUAUACAUCCUUAUAAAUAUCUAAAAUUAUAUGAAUAUCCUCAAAAUUUACUAGUACAUAUGCUCUAGUAAAAUAUUUGUUUUUUGUCAUGUGCACCAUUAUAAAUUACUUCUUUUUGCAUGUAUGCUAUUUACUUAAUAAAGGUUGACAUGCAAAAAGAAAAAAUUAUAAAAAUAUACUCAUAUAUAGUAAAUUUGUGAAAGUAUAUAUGCAAAUUUAGAUAUUUAUAAUAGUAUACUUGUAAAAAAAAUAACUUAUAAUGAUACAUAUGUAAAUAAAAAAUUUACAAGAUUAUACAUGUAAUUUCAGAUAUUCAUAAUCAUGUAUACGUUAAAAAAUUCAAAUUAAAAAUUGAUAAUAUAUGAUUAAAGGAGGAGAGAAAAAGGGACUAAAACCUACAAGUUAUGAAAAAGUCUGGAAGAUAUAUGAUUAAAAAUAAAGGUGUUGAAGCCUAGUCUCAUGCAAGAAAUCCAAACCAUAUUUGGAAUUAGAUAUUCUGUGCCAAGAGAUAUCUCAUCUAAUAGCUUCAAGAGAUGAUAUCCCAUCUGAUAGACUUCUCCAAUAUUUGUGGAGAGAAGUUUGUACUCUUAGAACAAAAGAAAUUGCCACUGAGUAGUUAUUUAAUUUCAACAAAACUACCUUUGUUGGUAGUUAUUCCCAUCAAUGGUAAAAUUUGUCACCAAAAGAAAUUGUUUGGUGUCCUUCUCCGCAUGAUGCCAACUGUCAAUUUAUUUCUAGAAAUUUGGAUCUUGAGACAAGUGAUCAGACCAUGUCAUCAAAAUGAAGUCAGUUGAUGCAAGCUAGAAGGUCGAUUGAGCUUAAAAGAGGGAUACAAUGAAAGAUAAACUAUUCUACAAAAGAUAUUAAACUAAUCCUGGAUGGGGGAAAGCUGAACUAAAUUUUCAAAACUACAAGUAGAAGGUAACUAAAUAACCUAAAGUAUCUAAGGAUAACUAGUAGUUAUUUGCAUUUGCUACCAAGAGGACUCCUUUUUUUUUUUGGGUAACACAAGAGGACUCUUUUUUGAUGUAAACCAAGAGACUAGCUCCUUCGAAAACUGAUUGCGUUAUCAAUUUUCUGGAGUCCAUACGGCUUCCUGAAAUCCAUCAUAGCUUAUAUAGAAUUUACCAAGUAAGAAAUUUUAAGUGCAACCAUGAGUUAAUUUGUAAUCAAGAGAAUAUCAUUCUCGAUGCAAGUUAUUUACUAUGAAAGUAACAUGUUAUGAAUUUCAUAGAUCAGUACAUGCUUUGAUCAAAGUCAUCACUUCCAUGGUUGCUGAUGUUCCUCCAAUUAGUUGUGAAUAGACUUUGAUCCUAAUUAAUCUGCUUCCUAUAAAAAGAAUAUGCUAUGUAUGUUUCAAAUUUUCAUUUAUUGCCAAUAUAUUCUAUCAAAUAUUGAGCAACCUACUGAUAACUAGUGAAAUACUUUAAUUCAUGUUUUUUUUUUUAGGUAAAGGGAAGCAUUAUAGCCACCCAGCUUUAUUAGAUGGUAAUGUACAAUGAUAAAAUACAGUCAUAAAGAAGAGAAGAAAGGUUACAGCUCAGCUCACUACAGGUUGCAGUAGUUUAGGAGACACAGAUCCAGGGGAGAA